GGUUCCGAAAGAAAAAGCAGACGCGCGAAGAUAAGUGAAAUGUAAAUGCAAUCAGGUUAAAGUUGUCAUCCUUGGCAAAAGGAUAAUAUAACAUCAAACUUCAUAGGUCAUGAGACAGAAAUUAUAUAUCUUUGUAUGAGAACAUGAUUUUUCAUUGAACACGUGAAUUUCUUCAUCCCUCAUUUAUAAAUUUCAUAAAUCUGAAUAAACCAUGUUUCCAUAAGGAAAAAGAUAUUUCAGUUUAAAGGUUGAUUUCUUCAUGUGAAAACACAAAGUAAUCCAAAAUACUUGUCCCCUUCUCUCUGUACAUCAAAUUUGCUGUUGAUAGAUACAAAGUCAUAGGACCUGUGUCAUAGGACCUGUGAGGCUGUGUCUGUGAUGGUUUUUCAGUUGGAAUGUGAGCCUUUGCCAUCAGUGUCACUUUGCGUCUGCUGUUGUUCGUCUGUAAACUAUUUGAAAGAUCUUCUCUGAAACUACUGAAUCAAUUCAAACCAAAAUUAAGCUGAAUGAUCUUAAGAGUAUCUAGCAUAAAGUCUGUUUUAUUUUCUGUUUGUUUUGUAAAAAAACAUGGCCGCCAAGGCUAAAUAUAGAACAUAGGGGUAAAAACCCAGUUUUAGGCAUACAUCUCAAAAACUCUAGCAUUAAGAGCAAAUCAGACAAAAGGGUAAAAAUGUUUAUACACUCUAGUUCUAUAUCUGCCCUGAAAUUUUCAGAUGAAUCUAACAACUCAUUGUUGGGUUGAUGCCACUAAAUAGGGCUUUUCACUGUUAGUUCGACCAUAUUGCAACACAUGACAUCGACUCCCUAGAAAUGGUCCAAAGAAGAGCUGCCAGAUUUGCGACAUCAACAUACAGUCGAGAACCAAGGACAAUUACAAAUAUCAUGAAAACCCUAGAAUGGCCAACGUUAGAAUCUAGACGGAAAUCCAGUAGACUAAGCAUGUUCUACAAAGCAACACAUGUAAGGCGGCAGUCAACAUACCAUUAUACGUGAGAAGACCAUCUACCUCAAGAAGACAAUACCAUCCAGAAAAAUUAACUCAGAUCAGUACCUCCACAGAUGCCUACAAAUACAGCUACAUACCACGCACCAUCACCGACUGGAACAGCCUGCCUCUUUAAGCCUUCCAAGCUACAUCUCUGGAAUGCUUCAAGGAGCAACUUCAGAGACUGCAGCUGUAAACAGAAACCACCUGUUUUUAUCCAAUUUUAAUUGCACUUGUAAAUACUGAGCACGCAGGUUGACGUUUGCACAGCAGUAUCUGCGUUAUGGAUUUCCACUGCCGAUCAAUAGUGUAGAUGUAGAUUGGAUAUGGGGCAGAUUUUUUAGAAAGAGGUGGAAAUAGUAUGAAAGUAUUGGGAAAUCCUAUGCAUGUUUCCAAGCAGCUUCUGUGUUUUAAUGAUGAUUUCCCGUAUUUUUCUCACCAUUUUUACAUUCAUUAAGAAAAUCUGCCCCCUAUCCAAGUUACAUGGACGAACUGUGAAGAGCCCUAUUGGUAAUUUUUAUGGAUAUUUUGCAGUUUUUCAUUAUAAUAUCUUGAAUUGUGAUUACAAUGUAUUAUAGACAAAGAUAAAGUGUAACCAGCAAAAAUAUUCAGCAAAGUAAGAUCUUCAAAUAAGUACUAUGAUCAAAUUGUCAAUUGGCCCCAUAGGGAGUUAUUGCAUUUUUAAAGAUAAUUUAACACAAUUUGUUUAUCUUGUUUUCUAACUUUAAAAAAUAUCUUCUCUGAAACUAACUAACUGAGCCAAACUAAACCAAACUUAACCUGCAUUCUUUUUAGGUUAUCUAGGAUGAGGUUAGUGUUUAGAAAACAUGGCCGCCAUGGCUAAAAAUAAAACAUAGGGUAAAAUGCAGUUUUUGACUAAUGUCUCAAAAACUAAAAGUAUUUGGAGCAAAUUAGAAUAAGUUUAAGUGUUCAUUAGGUCAAGGUCUACCUGCAUGGAAAUUAUCAGCCAAAAUAAGGUAUCUGAUUUUUAGGUUAAUAAACCGUUAUUGCCCCUCAAUUGAUGUUUGUCAUUUUUCUAGUUUUCAUUUAUUAUCUUUAUAAAGAUAAACUGUAAACAGCAAAAAAAAUUCAGCAAAAUAGGAUAUACAAAUAAGUUUUAUGACUAAAAUUGUCAAUUGACCCCUUAAGUUUUAAACACAAUUUUUCACAAUUUGUUCAUCUACUAAGUUUGCUUGUUUUUUAAAACAUUCUCCUUUGAAACUGCUGAAUCAAUCUCAACCAAACUUGGGCUGAAUGAGUUUCAGAGUAUCAACACUAUAGUAUAAAUUUUGUAUAUUUUUCCUAGUACAUUAAUGAAUGUCAAGAAACAGCCACUGUGGCUAAAAUGGAACCCAUAGGGGUAAAAUGCAUUUUUUUGCUUUUGAAGAAAAUAUGACAUAUACAAAGAACGUUUGAAUGGCAUUUUUAAGCCAGUCAAUAAUGUAUUUUGAAAAGCAAAAAUAAUCAUUGAUGAUUGAAAGAAUUAAGCAAAAAAGGAAAGGUGAGUGAUUCAGGCACUUGAGAGCCUCUUGUUUAGCUCCCUGCCCUAAUAGGCCAUGUGAACUUUUGCAAUUACUUGGUGUCCAUUGUCGUUCAAUCUGUUUUCUUUAAACUUUUUAUAAAAUCUGAACCUACUGGGCCAAAUGUUACUUGGAUUUCCCAUACAGAAGUCAGAACAUACUUUGUCCAUAUAUAUAUGAGUUAUUGCCUUUAAAUGGAAUUAUAUAUAUCAAAAUUGCAUUUUCUUUACCAGAGGCGGAUGUGAUUGACUUUAGGUUUUGAAGAACCUCUUGUAUUCAUAUUUUAAUAGAUUUUAUUAUUGAAUUACGUUUUUUUUUUAGAUUGACAAUGGCUGAUCUUUCCCUUUGGUCAUGGAGGCAUGACUUUGAUAAUAGAUUUGUGUAUUACCUAACUGGAGGCAUUAGUCUAAUGUAUGUAGUGACACUGGUCAUGAUAUACUAUGGUAAUCCCAGGACAGUGAGUACACUUUACCCUUUUCAGUAACAAACUAUAUCAAUCCUAGAGAAUUGACUCGCAAAAGACUAUUCAGUGAUAAAUUUAAGUUAUCCCAGAGUAGUGAGUACACUAUGCCAUAUUCAGUGUCGAACUUUAUUAAACCUACAAUAGUGAGUACACUAUACCAUAAUAGCAUUUUCAGUGACAAACUAAGUAAUUAUAGAGCAGCGAGUACACUUUUACAUAUUAAUAGUCCGGCGGCUACAAGCAUAUUUCAGACGAAUUGUGCACAUCCUGCUACAAGCAUGAAAUAUGGUAUAGAUCUUCCUCAACUAUUAUUCUGUCAUUUCAGAUAUGGAGGCAUUUGAAAAAAAAUGUCUCACUUCCGGUAAAAUCCAAAAUGGCGGACAUCAUACUUAAAUCAGCCCUAUAUCGAAGGCUAUUAAGUGAAAAGGUGUUAUUAUCAUGCUACUAACAUAAUAUUUGGUAUCAACCUUUGUUUUGUUCUACUUUUGGAUAUAUGAUAUAGAUAAGAUGUCUUCAAAAAUCCUACUUCCGGUAAAAUCAAACAUGGCGGAUAUAGUACUAGAAUAAGCUUUUUUUAGGGAGGGUAAUUGAAAUGUGUUUUAAUGUAUUGCUACUAUCAUUACACUGGGCAGGAACCUUUCUUUUUUGCCUCUCCUGGAUACAAUGUAGAAGACAUAUCUCUUUAAAAAACUUACUUCCGGUAAAAUUUAGAAUGGCGGACAUAGAAAUAUCAAUUUUCUAUUUUAAUAUUCAACUUUUUUCAAAAUGUAAAGAAAAUGUUUUUUGUUGGGGUUUAUUUUGCUUGUCAUUAAACUAUUGGCUUCAAGUUAUCCUCAAAACCACUAAAUUUUUUCUAAUGUAAAUUUUUAAAUCACACUUCCGGUAUUAAAAAAAAAACAAUAUGGUGGAAAUUUCAAAAAAUGAGUCCUCAAUACAUAUCUUUGAUUUAGAGUUUUAGAUAGAUUGGUUAAAACAAAAUAAAAUUACUGAAGUACUAAAACAUUUUUCAAAUUAUUACUAUUUGGCUGAAAAUACAUGUUUAUUCAGUCACCACAACAUGUAAACAAAACAGUGCACGGGAGACCCGAUUUUCCACAUUAACAACGACCGCGACAUCCUCUGUAUCUGUAUCUGUAUGAAUUCGUUGUCAAUACCAAUUCUGGCUUUAAUAUAACAGUUUGAGAGAGCGCCGCCGAUUUAUUGACAAGGAGUAAGAGCAGAUUUGACGCUCUAUACGCUUGAUUUGCGCACUACAGUGUCGUCUUGCUGAUUCGACGCGAUCACUGUCUUUACAAAGAAUGAGUUUGAGUAAGAGUGAUUCUCUACUUGCUUUUCCACAAUAUUUGUUGCGUGGUAUUCUUCGAACUUCUUUGCAGUUAUGUUUCUCUUAGGACGUGCUUUUUGGAGAAAUUCGUCUGGUUCAAUAGUGGGAAUCAGCCCCUAAACCACUUUGUACAUAAAUAUCAACUUCUAGCUUGUUCGUCUUGCAAUUGUCUGGAGGUCUUGUAGUUCCAGUUUGGCAAGCAUAUUGGAGACACACCUGCCAUCUCUUGACUUGUAACCUAUGGUGAUAAAUCUUGCCGCUUGACGUUGUAUCCUUUCUAGCUUAUUUAUGUUUGUUACCAUGUUGGGGUCCCUUACUAUGGCUCCACAUUCCAUCGUUGAUCAACGAGCGAGAUGUAAGCUGUUUUUUUGCAAUCUUGUGGGCAGUAUUUCAAGUUUCUUCUUUGAAAGCCUAGUGUUGAAUUAACUUUCUUUGCCACGUUUAAUAUGUGGGUGGUCCAUUUGAGGUCUUUCGAAAUUUGUAGGCAUAGGUACGGGUUAUGCUUGACUUGUUGUAGUAUGUGUCCAUUUAAACUGUAGAUUUUAUGGCUUUUGUUUCUGAUGCUUAGGAUGUAGCAUGUUUUGGCAUUGAACCGCAUUCCCAAGUACAUCCACAAUGUACAAGCUUCUGACAAAAUGAUGAGGCCUUAGAAAGAGUUAUUUAAAAGUUAUCCUCUCUGUCCCUUCGCCAUUCAUAAGCGCUUGAACUGGGUAUCAUUAAAGUCAAUUCCAAGCUCGUCCCCCUAAACACCUGCCUUAUUAUAUUGCACGUUUUACCCUCAAUUAGUCUUCCCUUUUGCGCAAAUAGUUAUUUUCUUGAUUCGUUAACCAUGUUAACCCCAUCUGAUAAGUUUGUGUGAUCUUACAGUUAAGCCUCGGUGAUUUAGGCUGAUCAAUCAUCAUUCUUUAUGUCAAAGUCACAUCUUCAAAUGCCAUCAAUGUCUCCCACGCAGUCUUAUUUUCCUUUUCAAGCAACCAGAGAACCAUAUCCAACUGGUAAAGACAUGGAGCACAAUAAGUGUGUGUAAUCACUCAUUGCCAGGUGCAUUUGUAAAUAUAUUUAUCCAAAGCUUUUUGCCCUCCCAAACACAAUUCAUAGUUCGUCUACCCCUGUCACGGAAUAGCGAAACAAUAACGACUAUUCGAAUCAUGACUCGUGCAAGUUCGUGGUUCAUUGCAUCAAACACUGGCACCAUGAUUAUAUUGUCAGCCUCUUAAUGUGAACAUGGUGAUAAACUUGAAAUACAUCUCGAGGUAGAUAAGAUAGAAUAUCCUGAGCAUUUGUUAUAAGAAGCAAGAGCUACAUUUAGGGAAAAGGGAAUACAAAUACACUGACGAAUCAAGAGUCAAAACAAGAUUACAACAAUAAGAAAGAACUUUUAAGUUUUCAUUCGCAACAGCUUGCUCAAUAGAUUUUGAGGGAAAGGUAGUUGUAGCAACAAUUACUCAGGAUGUUCUGUGCUAUCCAUCACAUGGUGAUGUUUCAAGCUUAGCAUCAUGUUCACGUAAAGAGGCUGACACUUGAAUCAAGAUGCAUGUGUCUGAUGCAGUGAAACACAGACUUAACUGAGUCAUGACUCGAACAUUCGAUACUGAUGUUGCUGUCAUUGCGGUUUCGCUUUUCAGUGACCUAGGGGCAGACAAACUUUGGCUUGCAUUUGGAAAGGGGGAAAGCUUCAGAUAUAUAUGUAUCCAUGACCUUUCAAAUACACUAGGCAUUGAGAUAUUACACGUUUGCUGGAAAAGGAACUGCGUUGGUGACAUGGAUGGUGUUUAAAGAUGUGACUCUAUCAUUUAGAAUGAUGAUUGAUCAGCCAACAUCACCAGAUAUGGAUUUGACAAUGUCAUUGAUAGAAUGAUACAUGGUUUUGUUGUACGAUCGAACAAACUUAUCAGAUGGGGUUAACGAAGCAAGAAAAAAUGUGUUUUUGGAAGAGGAAAUACUUAUUGAGGCUAUUCCCACGACUCGGUCUAGUCUUUUUCAGCAAGUAAAACGUGCAAUAUACCAUGGCGGAUGUGAUCGAGUAACAAGCUUGGUAUUGGUUCCUUUUCUUACUAGUCCAUCCCUUAUGAAUGGCGAAGGGGAAACAUUAUCCAUGGCACCCUUUUCAACAACUCUUUUGUGAGGCCUCUUAAUCUUAUCAGGAGCUUGUACAUUAUAGAUGUAGGAAACAAUACCACGAUCUUUGUAAAUUUGGAAAAUAAGCUCUCCGAUUGUGAGUAAACAUGUAUAUAUGCGGCCAUAAAUAAGUCAUUCUAAAGAUGUUUAACAACUUUAGUGAUUUUAUUUUGUUUUAAUCAAUCUAUCCAAAACUCUACAUCGAAUAUAUGGAUUGAGGACUCAUCUUUGUAAUUUUCGCCAUAUUGAUUUUUUACCGGAAGUGUUAAUUUUGUAUUGAAACAUAUGCAGCUGAAUAGAAUAAGUGGUUUUGAGGAUGACUUAAAGCCAAAAGUUUAAUGACAACCCCAAAAAAUUCAUUUUAUUUACAGUUUGAAAAAAGUUGAAUAUAAAAAUGAAAAAAUUAUCAAUAUUUCUAUGUCCGCCAUAUUGGAUAUUACCGGAAGUAAGGGUUUUAAAGACAUAUGUCUUAUACAUUGUAUCCAUGAGAAGCACCAAAGAAAGGUUCCUGCACAAUAUAAUGAUAGUAGCAAUACUUUAAAACACAUUUCAAUUAUCCUCCCUAAAAAUAAGCUUAUUGUAGUACUAUAUCCGCCAUGUUUGAUUUUACCGGAAGUAGGGUUUUUGAAGACAUCUUAUCUAUAUCAUAUAUCCAAAAGUAGUACAAAACAAAGGUUUGUACCAAAUAUUAUGAUAGUAGCAUGUUAAUAACACCUUUUCACAUACUAGCCUUCGAUAUUGGGCUAAUUUAAGUAUGAUGUCCGCCAUUUUAGAUUUUACCGGAAGUGAGGCAUUUUUUUCAAAUGCCUCCCUAUCUGAAAUGAAAGAGAAAUAGUUGAGGAAGGUCUAUGCCAAAUUUCAUGCUUGUAGCAGGAUGUGCACAAUUUUUCACAAAGCCGCCGUACUAUAAGGGACAAACUACACUAAACCCUUUUUAAAUGACAACUUUUCAACCUUUUUAUUUGUGUAGUGUUCCUGAGUUUAUUAACUUUGAGAAAGUCCCCAUAGUGGAGGUUAUAUGUCUGUUCUUAACCAGAACUUAGUGAUGAUUGUUUUUUUUAUGUGUAUUUUCAGCCAAAAGUAGUUGAUGUUCGUCCUUUGGAGGAUAUGACACAAGAAAAGAAACUUCAUAAAUAUUUACUGAUAGUGGAUA
rnacentral:lncRNA from 1 species